UCUGUACACAAUUUACUGCUCAUUGUUGCAGCAAUGAACACUUCUAGUUUCCAAAUCCAGAGUUAACACACCCAGAUGCUGCUAAUUUUGAAGCAAUCAGGGCAAUCAGUUUAAAUCCAUUCUGUUUUUCAAAUUGUACGAACAUAUUGAACCAUACACAAUUUCCUGUACAUUGUGUCGCAGUUAAACAAGCUUGGCACACCUGUAUUAGGGGAGUUUAUCCCAUUCUCUGCAAAUCCUCUAAAGCUCUGUCAGGUUGGAUGGUGAGUGUUGCUGCACAGCUAUUUUCAGGUCUCUCCAGAGAUGUUCGAUCGGGUUCAAGUCCAGGCUCUGGCUGGGCCACUCAAGGACUUGUCCCGAAGCCCCUCCUGCAUUGUCUUGGCUGUGUGCUUAGGGUCCUUGUCCUGUUGGAAGGUGAACCUUCGCCACAGUCUGAGGUCCUGAGCGCUCUGGAGCAGGUUUUCAUCAAGGAUCUCUGUACUUUGCUCCGUUCAUCUUUGCCUCGAUCUUCACUAGUCUCCCAGUCCUUGCCCCUGAAAAACUUCCCCACAGCAUGAUGCUGCCACCACCAUGCUUCACCGUAGGGAUGGUGCCAGGUUUCCUCCAGAUGUGACACUUGGCAUUCAGGCCAAAGAGUUCAAUCUUAGUUUCAUCAGACCAGAGAAUCUUGUUUCUCAUGGUCUGAGAGUCUUGAGGUACCUUUUGGCAACUCCAAGCGGGCUGUCAUGUGCCUUUUACUGAGGAAUGGCUUCCGUCUGGCCACUCUACCAUAAAGGCCUGAUUGGUGGAAUGCUGCAGAGAAGGAUGUCCUUCUGGAAGGUUCUCCCAUCUCCACAGAGGAACUCUAGAGCUCUGUCAGAGUGACCAUCAGGUUCUUUGUCACCUCCCUGACCAAGGCCCUUUUCCCCCCGAUUGCUCAAAUUGGCCGGGCGGCCAGCUCUAGGAAGAGUCUUGGUAGUUCCAAACAUCUUCCAUUUAAGAAUGAUGGAGGCCACUGUGUUGUUGGGGACCUUCAAUGCUGCAGAAAUGUUUUGGUACCCUUCCCCAGAUCUGUGCCUGGACACAAUUCUGUCUUGGAGCUCAACAAACAAAUCCUUCGACCUCAUGGCUUGGUUUUUGCUCUGACGUGCACUGUCAACUGCGGGACCUUAAAUAGACAGGUGUGUGCCUUUCCAAAUCAUGUCCAAUCAAAUGAAUUUACCACAGGUGAACUCCAAUCAAGUUGUAGAAACAUCUCAAUGAUGAUCAAUGGAAACAGGAUGCACCUCCAGAUGACAAACUCCAAGGGAGUGUGUGUGCAUGUUGUAUUUUCUUUUUCCUUGUCAGCCACCAUCUCUCCUAACCAUGACCUCUCCACCAACUGGCAAUAAACAUUAGCCUGCCACUUCUGGGAACCCUGUUCACAUGUGAGUGCUGUUGAGGCCCUGUUUCAGCUCCAGAUGACAAAAACCUGCACAUACUCCCAGAGAGUUGCAGGUCUGCCGACUUCCUUUUGGUCAUUCAUUUUAAUCAGAGAAGUAUCUAAUAAACCAAACUGUUGCUUUAACUGUGAAUGUACUUUAUUGCACACAAUCCCCAAAUAAAAUGGAACAUACAUAAAAUAAACAAUGUAUUUACAUUGGGUCUAAUGUGUGUUUUCUCUUAGAGUGAGGCCUGUUUUUCGACACAGAACAUUUACACAAUAGUCUUAUACAAUAUUAACAGUCACACUUUUAUUGGAUAGAUAUUUAGAGUAAUUAUGUAGAUAUUGAUAAUGGAUAUGUAGUCGUAGAUAUCUCCAAUCCUAAUAUAAAAUGGAACGGAGAGUGUGUGUGCAUGUUGUGUUUUAUUUUUCCUUGUCAACCACCCAUCUCUGCUUUGUCAGUCUUGCCAGGCCCAGGGUAUGCACUUCUGUGUGAGGCUGUCGGGCAAUGGUGGAGUGCAUGGCAGAUCUGAAAGAGAGAUGCACAAAGUGACAGUGGUGGUUCUGGUGGUGGACUACAGGUGCUGGUGCACCCCCUAGGGAGUGUGGUCUACCCUUUUUAUCCUCUUACAGCAAAUGGGAGGAUAAGUGGCAGCACGGGCCCUCCAUUUGGAGUGGUUCCAAUUUUAACAAGAAUGACGGUGUUGCCAUUUUAAUCAAGAACCCACAGGUGGUGGUAGGUGGGCAUGCUCUUCUAGCCAAUUGCACUUUCAUGGGGAGGGAUUUUAAUGUGCUAAAUGUUUAUGGUUUUAAUGACAAACAUGACCGGUGCGCACUUUUAGAAGACCUGCAGUCCCACAUGCUAAGGAGGGAUCCUCUAGUGGUGGGUGGGGAUUUGAACUGUGUUUUAAGUAGAGCAGACAGGAGAGGAUUUUAAGGUAGAUAGGUCAAGUGUUUAUUGCAAGGGUUGUGCAGGGAAUUUAAACUGACUGACUGUACAACCCUGCAUCCAAGAGAGGAGGGCUACUCCUGAACCAGUGGUGACGGCACCAGAGCCUCUCUCAUUGACUAUUUGUUUACCCGGGACUGUCCCCCAACUGAUGCUAGAAUAACCCCUGCUUUCUUCUCAGAUCACGUAAUGCUGACGUGCACCCUUUCACUAACUUUGGGUGUGACUGUGGGAAGAGGGCCCUGGAAAUUGAACUGCUCCCUUUUAGAAGAUGAUAGAGUAGUUAGUCAGUACAGGGAGCAGUUCAGCCAGUGGCAGACGCUACAGGACUUCUUUGACAUACGAGCACAGUGGUGGGAAAUGGUGAAGGGAAGGACGAUGAACUUCUUUAGAGAGAUAGGAAAGAAAAAAAGCUGAGAAAAAGAUAGACGCAUGGUGGGACUGCAAAAGCGACUGGAAAGGUAUUUUAACCUAUGCCAACAGGGCCUUGAUUUUAACCAUGAAAUUAAAGUAGUAAGAAAGGAAAUGGCACUUUUAGCAGAACAGAGAAGCAAGAGGGUUAUUUUAAGAAGUAAGGAAAGGGAAUUAGAAGAGGGGGAGAAGUGCACUAGGUACUUUUUAAAGAAAAUAGUUAGUAAAGGUAGAACAAUGAUAGGGUUAAAAAAUAAAGAUGGGCUUUUAAAAACAGAUACAAAAGGAAUAAAGGAAGUGCUCGAGGAUUUUUAUGGGGUACUGUUUGGAGUAAAGGAUGUGUGUGAGGAAACAAUGGGGGACCUUUUUACAUAACAAGACAGAAAUCGACCAAGGACUGAAACAUUUUAAGAGGGGUAAAUCACCGGGGGAGGAUGGCCUCCCUUUGGAGUUUUAUCUGACCUUUUCAGAUGUUUUAGCCGACGAACUUCUGACUGUUUUUACUGACUUUGAACAUCUUGACAGACUACCUGACAGUUUUAGAGUGGUGAUCGUGACUCUUUUAUAUAAGAAAAACGACAGGACGGACCUGAAGAACUGGAGACCGAUAACCCUUUUAAACUUUGAUUGUCAACUUUUUACCAAGGUUUUAACACUCAGAAUGUCUUCUGUUUUAGGGGAGGUGAUCCACCCGGACCAAACCUGUGCCGUUCCCGGAAUGAAGAUCACGGACAGCCUGAUACUGAUCCGAGAUGCCAUCUGUUAUGCGAGAGACAGAAACAUGCGGCUUGUAGUCCUAAAUUUAGAUUUUGAAAAAGCCUUUGAUCGGGUCUCGCACCGGUACUGCAAAAAUGGGUUUCCCAGACAGGUUCUUAGCACGGGUAGGACUGCUGUACAUUACCAGCAAAAUCCUUGUAAAUGAGCAUCUGUCAAAAGCAGUGGGAGUACACUGCGGCGUCCAUCAGGGCUGUCCGUUAUCUCCUCUUCUGUUCGUGGCCUGUAUUGAACCACUGGCACAGGUCUUGAGAAGGGACCAACGGAUCAGUGGGGUGGGUAUCCCGGGGAGUGGGGGGGAUGACUGCCAAGUGCGUUUUUUACAUGGACGCGUCAACAUUUUAUGUACCGACCUUUUAUCCGUCGACAGGACCCUGGACAGGACUGACUGGUACAGACGAGCCUCUGGGGAGAGACUGAACAGAGACAAGACAGAGGCCCAAUUUUUCGGACCGUGGGCAGACCCAGACUUGACCAGACUACCACUGACGGUUAAACCGACGGACAUAAGGGUAUUGGGGGUAAAGUUUGACCGGGAGGGAGGAGGGAGCGGAAAUUAAAGUGGGAUCCUGGGGACAGUAAGACAGAGACUGGAUUUUUGGGGACUACGACAGCUGACUUUUGAGGGCAAGGUUUUAAUCGUUAAAGCUGUGAUUUUACCUGUGCUUUUACUAAUCAGUUCUGUUUUUAUCCCCCUCGAAGGAGUAUUUUAGCCCUGGAGCGGAUGCUUUUUUACUUCCUGUGGGGAAGCAAGUGGGAGAGGCUGAGGAGGGAGGUGGUCAAGAGGCCCAGGUCCAAGGGGGGUAAAGGCUUGCCUGACCUCUACUUGUUCCUGGGAAGCCGCUACACAGCGUUACAUCUGACUCUUGCCACCUCCCCGGUCAACAACAAGACCCAGGCCCUCGCACGGUUCUGGCUGGGAUCUUACCUCAGGACUCUUGAGGCUGAUCCCAGUCGACCUGCGAGCCCCAGUCUCUUUCCUGCUCCCCACUCACUAUGCCCAGCUCCAGAAAUGUUUAAGACAUUUUCAACUGGAAAAGGAAGCAGUCACAGUUUUAACUAAACACCGCUCUCUUCUCUCUCUUGUGCAGGAUCGGGAACCAGUGUGUCCAUUACGCGGGCUUGCUAUAGGCGAGCCCACAACGGUUUGGCGUAACGUGGCCCAUACUGCUCUCCUGAAUUGGCAUCAGGACCUGUCCUGGAUGGUCGCCCACGAGAUCCUCCCGGUCAGGGCCGUUAUGCACUCACGGGGCAUGGCGAAGACAUCCGCGUGCCCCCAACCAGGCUGCGGCCAAGAAGAGUCGAUGAGGCACCUGCCCUGUGAGUGCAGAGCUGCCAGGGACCUGUGGAAGGAAGCAGGCCCCCUGAUCACCCCGUGUCUGCAGGGGAGGACCUAACACCUCAGCUCGUGCUCUAUGGGGUGGGCCGAAGGCCUAUUCCAUUGAAGGCCUUCACCAAGUUCUGGCCCACCCUCACGUGCCUGAAGGAAGCACUGUGGUCCUCCCGUAAUUUGCUGGUAGCGAAACAAGUAGACACCACCCCCCAGGCAGCGGCCAUGGUAGCCACGGAAGCCCUGGGUGGUACGGAAGGAAGGGGUCCUCGACCCCAGGCGAAGGGUCCCCCACAACACCCUAGGUCCCGGCGGCCACGGCCUGACAGCGCUGCAGCUGUCAGGCCGUGCUCCAUCUCCGGCCUCUUCAACGGUUGUUCAACUCCCACCGGCGGCACCCAAAGCGCCACCGUCAUCACCAGCUGCGGGUGACUGCACAGUGCCUCAAGGCAUUGUUGAGGUGGCGCUGUCGCUCCUUUCUCUCAGGUGGGUUGGAGAUGCUGAGGAUGUGCCGCCAGGAGCUGGUCAGCACAGACGCCUCCAAGAGCAGGUCAGCGGCUGUUGGCCACCCCCUUGGAGAGACAGGCACAUCAAUACACUAGAGCUGUACUGCUGGCCCUGGGGUCUUUCCUUCCACAUCUGAAAGGAAGACAUGUACUGGUGAGAACAGACAACACCACAGUGGUGGCUUACAUCAACCAUCAGGGUGGACUACAGUCCCACCGCCUCCAUCUUAUGGCACGGGAGCUCCUUCUCUGGGCUCAGGGCUGUCUAGCGUCUCUAUGCACAGCGCACAUACCUGACAUCCUGAGUGUGGCAGCGGAUAUGCUAUCGAGGGAGGGUCCGCCACUUUGGGACUGGAGCCUACAUCCCCAGGUGGUGCAGCACCUGUGGGAAGGUUCGGGAGUGCUCGGGUGGACCUGUUUUCUCCCUGGACAAUGCACACUGCCCCCUGUGGUACUCCAUGUCAGAGUCUUCAGGGCCUCUGGGCUUGGAUGCUCUGGCUCAGCAUGUGGAACCUCAGUAGGGCUGGAGCUUUAUGCAUUCCCCCCUUUUCCUCUGAUCCAGGCUGUGCUGGACAGGACUAGGAUGGCAGAGCAUUGUCUGCUUCUGGUGGCCCCUUUCUGGCCCAGGCGACCUUGGUUCAGCCUUCUCCUUUCCCUGUUGUCUGGGACAUCUUGUCAAGUUCCCCUGCGACCGAACUUGCUGUCUCAGGCCGGGGGAACUCUGUGGUAUCCAAGACCACACUGUCUCAGUCAGUGGGCUUGGCCACUGAAUGGCACCAAUGAUCCAUGUUAGGACUACAGCAGGGUGACAUGAACACCAUGCAGAGCGCAAGGGCGCUGGCUACAACCGCAGUGAAAACAGACCAGCUCUUUGUCUGCUAUGGUGAACAAGUCCUACGGGCUGGGCUAUCAAAGCAGAGGCUCUCUGACUGGAUCGUGGACACGAUUAUGACAGCAUACCACCUGGCUGGCAUAACAGUGCUGGGAUCUGUGGUGCCACAUUCAACACGACGUGUGGCUGCAUCCUGGGCUCUACUGAGGGGAGUGCCACUCGCUGAGAUCUGUGCUGCGGCCAGCUGGGCUUCCUCUUGCACCUUUGCUAGGUACUUUUGGGUAAAUGUGGCACCUCCCUCUGCGUUUGGUUCAGCUGUCCUGGCCGUCGCCUCCCCUUCCGGGGACUGUGCCGGGACCCCCUUCCACAUUGACAGCCCCUGCGUCUCAGUCCCGCGCUGGGACUUCUUCGCAGGCUGGCCAGGUCCCUCUAGCACCAACUAAUCUGGUACGUGUAUACCAAUAUAUUGGAGUGAUCCAAUAUAGUGAAACAUAACAAAGGUUACGUAUAUAACCACGGUUAUGUGAGCUAUAUGGAUCACUCCAAUCCUCUAUAGUGCUAGAGGCGCCUCAAAAAUGAUGUAGAGAACGUGUCACGGCCAUAUAUAGGGGCGUACCACCACCAGCCGUGACACAGGUGUACACAGGAGUAAAUCUGUAAAUAGUCACCUCGGAUGUAUCCCUCCGCCACGGAGUGAUACCAAUAUAUUGGAGUGAUCCAUAUAAAUUCAGCAAAAAAAGAAACAGCCCUUUUUCAUGACCCUGUCUUUCAAAGAUAAUUUGUAAAAAUCCAAAAGAUAUUCAUUGUGAAGGGUUUAAACACUGUUUCCUAUGCUUGUUCAAUGACCCAUAAACAAUGAAUGAACAUGCACCUGUGAAACGGUCGUUAACACUAACAGCUUACAGACGGUAGGCAAUUAAGGUCACACUUAUGAAAACUUAGGACACUAGAGGCCUUUCUACUGACUCUGAAAAACACCAAAAGAAAGAUGCCCAGGGUCCCUGCUUAUCUGUGUGAACGUGCCUUAGGCAUGCUGCAAGGAGGCAUGAGGACUGCAGAUGUGGCCAGGGCAAUAAAUUGCAAUGUCCGUACUGUGAGACGCCUAAGACAGCGCUACAGGGAGACCGGAUGGACAGCCGAUCGUCCUCGCAGUGGCAGACCACGUGUAACAACACCUGCACAGGAUCCGAACAUCUGAACAUCACACCUGCGGGACGGGUACAGGAUGGCAACAACUGCCCGAGUUACACCAGGAACGCACAAUCCCUUCAUCAGUGCUCAGACUGUCCGCAAUAGGCUGAGAGAGGCUACGCUGAGAGAGGCUACGCUGAGAGAGGCUACGCUGAGAGAGGCUGGGCUGAGAGAGGCUGGGCUGAGAGAGGCUGGGCUGAGGGCUUGUAGGCCUUUUGUAAGGCAGGUCCUCGCCAGACAUCACCGGCAACAACGUUGCCUAUGGGCACAAACCCACCAUCGCUGGACCAGACAGGACUGUCAAAAAGUGCUCUUCACUGACGAGUCACGGCUUUGUCUCACCAGGGGUGAUGGUCUUAUUUGCGUUCAUCAUCGAAGGAAUGAGCGUUACACCGAGGCCUGUACUCUGCAGCGGGAUCGAAUUGGAGGUGGAGGGUCCGUCAUGAUCUGGGGCGUGCGUCACAGCAUCAUCUGACUGAGCUUUUUGUCAUUGCCUGCAAUCUCAACGCAGUUCAUUACAGGGGAGACAUCCUCCUCGCUCAUGUGGUACCCUUCCUGCAAGCUCAUCCUGACAUGACCCUCCAGCAUGACAAUGCCACCAGCCAUACUGCUCGUUCUGUGCGUGAUUUCCUGCAAGAUAGAAAUGUCAGUGUUCUGCCAUGGCCAGCGAAGAGCCCGGAUCUCAAUCCCAUUGAGCAUGUCUGGGACCUGUUGGAUCGGAGGGUGAGGGCUAGGGCCAUACCCCCCAGAAAUGUCUGGGAACUUGCAAGUGCCUUGGUGGAAGAGUGGGGUAACAUCUCACAGCAAGAACUGGCAAAUCUGGUGCAGUCCAUGAGGAGAUGCACUGCAGUACUUAAUGCAGCUGGUGGCCACACCAGAUACUGACUUACUUUUGAUUCCCCCACCCUUUGUUCAGGGACACAUUACUCCAUUUCUGUUAGUCACAUGUCUGUGGAACUUUUUUCAGUUUAUGUCUGUUAUGUUCAUACAAAUAUUUACACAUGUUAAGUUUUGCUGAAAAUAAAUGCAGUUGAUAGUGAGAGAACGUUUCUUUUUUUGCUGAGUUUAGCUCACAUAACUGUGGUUUCAUAUGUAACCUUCGUUAGCUAGCGCCGUUGGCAUUAGCUAGCUAGCAGCGCCAGCAUGAUAGCUAUGAAAGUAUCUAUCCAGCAACAAUGUCAAGGUCAAAAAUGAAAAACUAUGUUGAGCCAUGCUGACAUCGUAAGAAGUCAAAUCGGACUGAAACAAUUAAGACUGAACGUACAUUUCUGUGACUAACUAGCUAACUUUAGCUCAGUGACCGGUGACGCACCUAUUCCUGUUUACAGAAUGUGCAUCCCUCCCCCUCCCAUGUCCUGCAUGGAGAAGCGCCACUGAGUCAACUUGUGGCCAGAAUUUUAUAUUACAUCCGGGUUGGUUUACAAACCUCGUUGACAAUGCAUGGGAAACUGUUUAGGGUCAUUUAGCUAAAGACCGCCCACUUUACCUAGUUCCAUUCUAAAGCAAUUGUGUUUUUGUUUCAGUUUCACAACUUCCGGCAACACUAGCAAAUUACCUCAGAGCGGCGACUUAACACAAAAGCAAAACAUGGCUUACGUUUGGGAACACACAUAUGGAUCUUCGGAGGUCGGAUGGUAUCACCGUAUCCCAUCCGUCCAUGAUUAAUACUUACUUGACAUGAUAAAAUUGCGUGAAGUUACGUAUGGGGAUUUUUUAUUACUUUGUGUUCUCCUUGGGAGUGGAUGGUUCCACUAUGAAAAAUUAGAAGAGUACAGAGGCAUAUCAGUAGGCUGGACACAACAUUUUUAAAAACACUUUUUUCUGAUAACUAGUUCAUUGCAUCCACCCCGCCGUGGAGCCCAGUUUCAUAAUAUUACUAUCUGUCCCAACUGUUUGCCGUAGUUGAAAAAACAGCACUUAUUUUAGGGCAUUUUUCACCCUGCCAGCUCCUGUUAGUUCUAUUGAGCACCGUGGCACCAACUGGCCUUCCGAGGAUUCUAUUCCCAACCUAUUGUUCUACGUCACAAUGCCUGCUUCGCAAUUGUUGGCAAAGAGACAUGCCCACGUUAAAAUCAUACACGGAACCCAAACCGGUGGCGCGUGCGCCAUCGUGCAUAAAUGCAUUUUGUCCCCCCAAACCAAACGCGAUCACGACAUGCAGGUUAAAAUAUCAAAACAAACUCUGAACCAAUUAUAUUAUUUUGGGGACAGGUCAAAAAGCAUUAAACAUUUAUGGCAAUUUUGCUAGCUUGCACUUGCUAGCUAGUUUGUCCUAUUUAGCUAGCUUGCUUUUGCUAACUAAUUUGUCCUGGGAUAUAAACAUUGAGUUGUUAUUUUACCUGAAAUGCACAAGGUCCUCUACUCCGCCAAUUAAUCCACACAUAAAACAGUCAACCGAAUCGUUUCUAGUCAUCUCUCCUCCUUCCAGGCUUUUUCUUCUCUUGACUUUAUAUUGCAAUUGGCAACUUUCAUAAAUUAGGUGCAUUACUGCCACUGACCUCGUUCGUCUUUCAGUCACCCACGUGGGUAUAACCAAUGAGGAGAUGGCACGUGGGUACCUGCUUCUAUAAACCAAUGAGGAGAUGGGAGAGGUAGGACUUGCAGCGCGAUCUGGGUUAGAAAUAGAACUGACUUCUAUUUUAGCCAUUGGCAACGCAGACGCUCAUUGGCGCGCACGUGCAGUGUGGGUGCAAUUUUUUAUUUAUUAUUUUAUUUAUUUCACCUUUAUUUAACCAGGUAGGCUAGUUGAGAACACGUUCUCAUUUGCAACUGCGACCUGGCCAAGAUAAGGCAUAGCAGUGUGAACAGACAACAGAGUUACACAUGGAGUAAACAAUUAACAAGUCAAUAACACAGUAGAAAAAAAAGAGAGUCUAUAUAUAUUGUGUGCAAAAGGCAUGAGGAGGUAGGCGAAUAAUUACAGUUUUGAAGAUUAACACUGGAGUGAUAAAUGGUCAGAUGGUCAUGUACAGGUAGAGAUAUUGGUGUGCAAAAGAGCAGAAAAGUAAAUAAAUGAAAUACAGUAUCGGGAUGAGGUAGGUAAAAUUGGGUGGGCCAUUUACCGAUAGACUAUGUACAGCUGCAGCGAUCGGUUAGCUGCUCAGAUAGCAGAUGUUUGAAGUUGGUGAGGGAGAUAAAAGUCUCCAACUUCAGAGAUUUUUGCAAUUCGUUCCAGUCACAGGCAGCAGAGAACUGGAAUGAAAGGCGGCCAAAUGAGGUGUUGGCUUUAGGGAUGAUCAGUGAGAUACACCUGCUGGAGCGCGUGCUACGGGUGGGUGUUGCCAUCGUGACCAGUGAACUGAGAUAAGGCGGAGCUUUACCUAGCAUGGACUUGUAGAUGACCUGGAGCCAGUGGGUCUGGCGACGAAUAUGUAGCGAGCCGGCCGACUAGAGCAUACAGGUCGCAGUGGUGGGUGGUAUAAGGUGCUUUAGUGACAAAACGGAUGGCACUGUGAUAAACUGCAUCCAGUUUGCUGAGUAGAGUGUUGGAAGCUAUUUUGUAGAUGACAUCGCCGAAGUCGAGGAUCGGUAGGAUAGUCAGUUUUACUAAGGUAAGUUUGGCGGCAUGAGUGAAGGAGGCUUUGUUGCGGAAUAGAAAGCCGUCUCUAGAUUUGAUUUUCGAUUGGAGAUGUUUGAUAUGAGUCUGGAAGGAGAGUUUACAGUCUAGCAAGACACCUAGGUACUUAUAGAUGUCCACAUAUUCAAGGUCGGAACCAUCCAGGGUGGUGAUGCUUGUCGGGCGUGCGGGUGCAGGCAGCGAACGGUUGAAAAGCAUGCAUUUGGUUUUACUAGCGUUUAAGUGCAGUUGGAGGCCACGGAAGGAGUGUUGUAUGGCAUUGAAGCUUGUUUGGAGGUUAGAUAGCACAGUGUCCAAGGACGGGCUGGAAGUAUACAGAAUGGUGUCGUCUGCGUAGAGGUGGAUCAGGGAAUCGCCCGCAGCAAGAGCAACAUCAUUGAUAUAUACAGAGAAAAGAGUUGGCCCGAGAAUUGAACCCUGUGGCACCCCCAUAGAGACUGCCAGAGGACCGGACAGCAUGCCCUCCGAUUUGACACACUGAACUCUGUCUGCAAAGUAGUUGGUGAACCAGGCAAGGUAGUCAUCAGAAAAACUGAGGCUACUGAGUCUGCCGAUAAGAAUAUGGUGAUUGACAGAGUUGAAAGCCUUGGCAAGGUCGAUGAAGACGGCUGCACAGUACCGUCUUUUAUCGAUGGCGGUUAUGAUAUCGUUUAGUACCUUGAGCGUGGCUGAGGUGCACCCGUGACCGGCUCGGAAACCAGAUUGCACCACGGAGAAGGUACGGUGGGAUUCGAGAUGGUCAGUGACCUGUUUGUUGACUUGGCUUUCGAAGACUUUAGAUAGGCAGGGCAGGAUGGAUAUAGGUCUGUAACAGUUUGGGUCCAGGGUGUCUCCCCUGACUGCUGCAGCUUUCCAAUCUUUGGGGAUCUCAGAUGAUAUGAAAGAGAGGAUUGAAUAACAUGUAUGUCUAAAUAUAUUUUGCAGUGUAGUCAACCUGUUAGGCUUACCUCGAGUAAUUAACUAGGUUACAACUAUUUGGUGAGUGCACUCACUGUUCACCUGGGUACACAAUUUUGAUCCACAGUAUUAACGAUGGCUGGCGCAUAGCGUUAAACAUUUUCUGGUCAUGGUUAACUAUAUUUU